rnacentral:rRNA from 1 species
UGACGUAAUUCUAGAGCAAUGACGCAAUUUAACUGAAAAACUUAGAGAAAAUUUGGAAAAAGUGAUGAAAUCACAAGAGAUGUUCACUCAUCAGAGUCCAAACUAUGAGGGUUCGAUUCCGGAGAGGGAGCCUGAGAAACGGCUACCACAUCUAAGGAAGGCAGCAGGCGCGCAAAUUACACAAUCCCAGUACGGGGAUGUAGUGACGAAAAAUAACAAUACGGGACUCUAUUGAGGCCCCGUAAUUGGAAUGAGUACAAUUUAAAUCCUUUAACGAGGAUCUAUUGGAGGGCAAGUCUGGUGCCAGCAGCCGCGGUAAUUCCAGCUCCAAUAGCGUAUAUUA